rnacentral:rRNA from 1 species
UAAGGAAUAUUGGUCAAUGGACGCAAGUCUGAACCAGCCAUGCCGCGUGAAGGAUGAAGGUCCUCUGGAUUGUAAACUUCUUUUAUCUGGGACGAAAACGGGAUUUUUAUCUCAAUUGACGGUACCAGAGGAAUAAGCACCGGCUAACUCCGUGCCAGCAGCCGCGGUAAUACGGAGGGUGCGAGCGUUAUCCGGAUUUACUGGGUUUAAAGGGUGCGUAGGUGGGCUUAUAAGUCAGUGGUGAAAUCUCCGAGCUUAACUUGGAAACUGCCUUUGAUACUAUAGGUCUUGAAUUAUCUGGAGNUAAGCGGAAUAUGUCAUGUAGCGGUGAAAUGCUUAGAUAUGACAUAGAACACCAAUUGCGAAGGCAGCUUACUACAUAUAAAUUGACGCUGAGGCACGAAAGCGUGGGGAUCAAACA